rnacentral:tRNA from 1 species
AAAAAGGUCAGCUAAGUUUAAGCUAAUGGGCUCAUACCCCAUAAAUAGGAUAA